AAUCAACGCUGGCGGCGUGCCUCAGACAUGCAAGUCGAACGCGAAAGGCCCCUUCGGGGGCCCGGUAGAGUGGCGCACGGGUGAGUAACACGUAGGUAAUUUGCCUUCGGGUGGGGAAUAACAGCCGGAAACGGCUGCUAAUACCGCAUAAUGCAGCGGCUCGACAUCGAGACAGUUGUUAAAGCGGGGAUCGCAAGACCUCGCGCCUGAAGAGAAGCCUGCGGCAGANAGCUUGUUGGUGAGGUAAUGGCUCACCAAGGCACGAUCUGUAACCGGCCUGAGAGGGCGGUCGGUCACACUGACACUGACAUACGGGUCAGACUCCUACGGGAGGCAGCAGUC
rnacentral:rRNA from 1 species